GCGGAUGACCUGUGGCUGGGGGUGAAAGGCCAAUCAAACCGGGAGAUAGCUGGUUCUCCCCGAAAGCUAUUUAGGUAGCGCCUCGUGAAUUCAUCUCCGGGGGUAGAGCACUGUUUCGGCUAGGGGGCCAUCCCGGCUUACCAACCCGAUGCAAACUGCGAAUACCGGAGAAUGUUAUCACGGGAGACACACGGCGGGUGCUAACGUCCGUCGUGAAGAGGGAAACAACCCAGACCGCCAGCUAAGGUCCCAAAGUCAUGGUU
rnacentral:rRNA from 2 species